ACAAGUGCAUGUGGUGGAUGCCUUGGCGAUCACAGGCGAUGAAGGACGCGGUAGCCUGCGAAAAGCUACGGGGAGCUGGCAAACGAGCUUUGAUCCGUAGAUGUCCGAAUGGGGAAACCCGGCCCUUUUGGGUCAUCCUGGACUGAAUACAUAGGUCCAGUGAAGCGAACGCGGUGAACUGAAACAUCUAAGUAACCGCAGGAAAAGAAAUCAACCGAGAUUCCCAAAGUAGUGGCGAGCGAAAUGGGAUGAGCCUUGCACUCUUUAUUUGUAUUGUUAGCCGAACGCUCUGGAAAGUGCGGCCAUAGCAGGUGAUAGCCCUGUAGGCGAAAACAGUAUGAAAGAACUAGGUGUGCGACAAGUAGGGCGGGACACGUGAAAUCCUGUCUGAAGAUGGGGGGACCAUCCUCCAAGGCUAAAUACUCGUGAUCGACCGAUAGUGAACCAGUACCGUGAGGGAAAGGCGAAAAGAACCCCGGGAGGGGAGUGAAAUAGAUCCUGAAACCGCAUGCAUACAAACAGUCGGAGCCUCGCAAGGGGUGACGGCGUACCUUUUGUAUAAUGGGUCAGCGACUUACGUUCAGUAGCAAGCUUAACCGUAUAGGGCAGGCGUAGCGAAAGCGAGUCCGAAUAGGGCGUUCAGUUGCUGGGCGUAGACCCGAAACCAGGUGAUCUAUCCAUGGCCAGGAUGAAGGUGCGGUAACACGUACUGGAGGUCCGAACCCACUAACGUUGAAAAGUUAGGGGAUGAGCUGUGGAUAGGGGUGAAAGGCUAAACAAACCUGGAAAUAGCUGGUUCUCUCCGAAAACUAUUUAGGUAGUGCCUCGUGUCUCACCUUCGGGGGUAGAGCACUGUCAUGGUUGGGGGGUCUAUUGCAGAUUACCCCGCCAUAGCAAACUCCGAAUACCGAAGAGUGCAAUCACGGGAGACAGACAUCGGGUGCUAACGUCCGGUGUCAAGAGGGAAACAACCCAGACCGCCAGCUAAGGUCCCCAAAUAUAGCUAAGUGGGAAACGAAGUGGGAAGGCUAAAACAGUCAGGAGGUUGGCUUAGAAGCAGCCACCCUUUAAAGAAAGCGUAAUAGCUCACUGAUCGAGUCGUCCUGCGCGGAAGAUGUAACGGGGCUAAGCUAUAUACCGAAGCUGCGGAUGCGAGCUUGCUCGCAUGGUAGGAGAGCGUUCCGUAAGCCUGCGAAGGUGCCUUGUAAAGGGUGCUGGAGGUAUCGGAAGUGCGAAUGCUGACAUGAGUAGCGAUAAAGGGGGUGAAAGGCCCCCUCGCCGUAAGCCCAAGGUUUCCUACGCAACGUUCAUCGGCGUAGGGUGAGUCGGCCCCUAAGGCGAGGCAGAAAUGCGUAGCUGAUGGGAAGCAGGUCAAUAUUCCUGCACCAUUGUUAGAUGCGAUGGGGGGACGGAUCGCGGAAGGUUGUCCGGGUGUUGGAAGUCCCGGUCGCUGCAUUGGAGAAGGCGCUUAGGCAAAUCCGGGCGCGCAAUUCAAGGGUGUGGCGCGAGCUCCUUAGGGAGCGAAGCAAUUGGAAGUGGUUCCAAGAAAAGCCUCUAAGCUUCAGUCUAACGAUGACCGUACCGCAAACCGACACAGGUGGGCGAGAUGAGUAUUCUAAGGCGCUUGAGAGAACUCGGGAGAAGGAACUCGGCAAAUUGGUACCGUAACUUCGGGAUAAGGUACGCCCUUGUAGCUUGACUGGCCUGCGCCAGGAGGGUGAAGGGGUUGCAAUAAACUGGUGGCUGCGACUGUUUAAUAAAAACACAGCACUCUGCAAACACGAAAGUGGACGUAUAGGGUGUGACGCCUGCCCGGUGCCGGAAGAUUAAAUGAUGGGGUGCAAGCUCUUGAUUGAAGUCCCGGUAAACGGCGGCCGUAACUAUAACGGUCCUAAGGUAGCGAAAUUCCUUGUCGGGUAAGUUCCGACCUGCACGAAUGGCGUAACGAUGGCCACACUGUCUCCUCCCGAGACUCAGCGAAGUUGAAGUGUUUGUGAUGAUGCAAUCUACCCGCGGCUAGACGGAAAGACCCCAUGAACCUUUACUGUAGCUUUGCAUUGGACUUUGAACCGAUCUGUGUAGGAUAGGUGGGAGGCUAUGAAACCGGAACGCUAGUUUCGGUGGAGCCGUCCUUGAAAUACCACCCUGGUUUGUUUGAGGUUCUAACCUUGGCCCGUGAUCCGGGUCGGGGACAGUGCAUGGUAGGCAGUUUGACUGGGGCGGUCUCCUCCCAAAGCGUAACGGAGGAGUACGAAGGUACGCUAGGUACGGUCGGAAAUCGUGCUGAUAGUGCAAUGGCAUAAGCGUGCUUAACUGCGAGACCGACAAGUCGAGCAGGUGCGAAAGCAGGUCAUAGUGAUCCGGUGGUUCUGUAUGGAAGGGCCAUCGCUCAACGGAUAAAAGGUACUCUGGGGAUAACAGGCUGAUACCGCCCAAGAGUUCAUAUCGACGGCGGUGUUUGGCACCUCGAUGUCGGCUCAUCUCAUCCUGGGGCUGUAGCCGGUCCCAAGGGUAUGGCUGUUCGCCAUUUAAAGAGGUACGUGAGCUGGGUUUAAAACGUCGUGAGACAGUUUGGUCCCUAUCUGCCGUGGGCGUUGGAUAUUUGAAGGGGGCUGCUCCUAGUACGAGAGGACCGGAGUGGACGAACCUCUGGUGUACCGGUUGUCACGCCAGUGGCAUCGCCGGGUAGCUAUGUUCGGAAGAGAUAACCGCUGAAAGCAUCUAAGCGGGAAACUCGCCUUAAGAUGAGAUAUCCCUGGGGACUAGAUCCCCUUGAAGGGUCGUUCGAGACCAGGACGUUGAUAGGUCAGGUGUGUAAGCGCAGUAAUGCGUUCAGCUAACUGAUACUAAUUGCCCGUAAGGCUUGAUC
rnacentral:rRNA from 1 species